GAUGAACGCUAGCGGCAGGCCUAACACAUGCAAGUCGAGGGAGAAGCCCUUUCGGGGGCAGGAACCGGCGCACGGGUGCGUAACGCGUAUGCAACCUACCUUUCACAGGGGGAUAGCCCGAAGAAAUUUGGAUUAAUACCCCAUAAUAUUAUUGGAUGGCAUCAUUUGAUAAUUAAAACUGCGGUGGUGAAAGAUGGGCAUGCGUCCUAUUAGCUAGUUGGAGUGGUAACGGCACCCCAAGGCUACGAUAGGUAGGGGUCCUGAGAGGGAGAUCCCCCACACUGGUACUGAGACAGGGACCAGACUCCUACGGGAGGCAGCAGUGAGGAAUAUUGGUCAAUGGUCGGAAGACUGAACCAGCCAUGCCGCGUGCAGGAAGAAUGCCUUAUGGGUUGUAAACUGCUUUUAGAUGGGAAGAAUAAGGCGUACGUGUACGUUGAUGACGGUACCAUAUGAAUAAGCAUCGGCUAACUCCGUG
rnacentral:rRNA from 1 species